UUGCUGCGGUUAAAAUGCUCGUAAUUGAAUUCCUGUCGAGGGCUAUUGGUCCACCCACUGGGUGAGUAAUUGUUAAUCAUUUGCAUAACAAUUGAUAAUGCAUAUGUACUUGAUUGUAAUAUGUAUCAUAUCUACACAAUUUACUUUGAGGAAAUUAAAGUGUUUCGAGCAUGCACAUGCACCAAGCACGUUAGCACGGAAUAAUGUACAAUGAUAGUUGCUGUAUUUGUUUGGUUCUUAGAGCUUCGAGAAUUGAUGACAGGAAUAACUUGUGGCAUUCGAAUUUGGCAGUCAGAGGUGAAAUUCUUGGAUUUGCUGACGGCGAACUGCCGCGAAAGCAUUUGCCAUUUAUGUUUUCAUUGAUCAAGAACUACAGUUAGGGGAUCGAAGACGAUCAGAUACCGUCAUAGUCCUAACGAUAAACAAUGCCGACUAGGAAUUGAAUGCUGUUAAUUGCACGACUUGUCCAAUACCUUAUGAUAAAUCAAAGUAUUUGUGUUCCGGGGGGAGUAUGGUCGCAAGGCUGAAACUUAAAGGAAUUGACGGAAGGGCACCACCAGGAGUGGAGCCUGCGGCUUAAUUUGAUUCAACACGGGGAAACUUAUCAGGUCCAGACAUAAUAAGGAUUGACUAAUUUGCUGUUUAUUCUUGAUUACUUGGGUGGUGGUGCAUG
rnacentral:rRNA from 1 species